rnacentral:rRNA from 1 species
AUUGAACGCUGGCGGCAGGACUAACACAUGCAAGUCGAACGAGUGGCGGACGGGUGAGUAAUGUCUGGGAAACUGGCUGAUAGAGGGGGAUAACUACUGGAAACGGUGGCUAAUACCGCAUACACUCGGAUGAGCCCAAAUGGGAUUAGCUAUUAGGUGGGGUAAAGGCUCACCUAGGCGAAGAUCCCUAGCUGGUCUGAGAGGAUGACCAGCCACACUGGAACUGAGACACGGUCCAGACUCCUACGGGAGGCAGCAGUGGGGAAUAUUGCACAAUGGGCGCAAGCCUGAUGCAGCCAUGCCGCGUGUAUGAAGAAGGCCUUCGGGUUUUAAAGUACUUUCAGCGGGGAGGCGUUACCCGCAGAAGAAGCACCGGCUAACUCCGUGCCAGCAGCCGCGGUAAUAC